rnacentral:rRNA from 1 species
AGAGUUUGAUCCUGGCUCAGAGUGAUCGCUGGCGGCGUGCUUAACACAUGCAAGUCGAGCGAAUUUUGGCAGCGUAUCGCCAGAGUUAGCGGCAGACGGGUGAGUAAUACUUGGGUAAUCUACCCUUGAGUGGGAAACAACCGGCCGAAAGGCUGGCUAAUGUCCCAUAAGACCACAGGAUGGCAUCAUCCAGGGGUCAAAGGUCCGCAAGGGCCGCUUGAGGAGGAACCCGAGUCCUAUCAUGGUAGUCGGUGAGGUAACGGCUCACCAAGCCUUUGACGGGUAGCCGGCCUGAAAGGGUGAUCGGCCACACUGGCACUGAGACACGGGCCAGACUCCUACGGGAGGCAGCAGUGGGGAAUUUUGGACAAUGGGGGCAACCCUGAUCCAGCGACGCCGCGUGAAGGAUGAAGGUCUUCGGAUUGUAAA